rnacentral:rRNA from 1 species
UGGAUGGUAGUGUAUUGGACUACCAUGGCAGUCACGGGUAACGGAGAAUUAGGGUUCGGUUCCGGAGAGGGAGCCUGAGAAACGGCUACCACAUCUAAGGAAGGCAGCAGGCGCGUAAAUUACCCAAUCCCGAUUCGGGGAGGUAGUGACAAGAAAUAACAACUUCAGAGGUUCGCUUCUAGAAGAUUGCAAUGAGAACAAUUUAAAUCACUUAACGAUUAACAAUUGGAGGGCAAGUCUGGUGCCAGCAGCCGCGGUAAUUCCAGCUCCAAUAGCGUAUACAUAAGUUGUUGCAGUUAAAAAGCUCGUAGUUGAACUUCUGGUUGGGCACAGUCGCGGCUUCAGCCAGGCUGUUGUCUAAUCRUCCGUCUGCAACCCUACAUCGGCCUUAACUGGUGCGAGUAGGUGAGCAGACAAUUUACCUUGAAAAAAUUAGAGUGUUUCAGGCAGGUACUCGCCGGAAUACAUUAGCAUGGAAUAAUGGAAUAGGACUUCGAUCCUUUGUUGGUUUCGGGAUCAAAGUAAUGAUUAAUAGGAACAGAUGGGGGCAUUAGUAUUUAAUUGUCAGAGGUGAAAUUCUUGGAUUUAUUAAAGACUAACUAAUGCGAAAGCAUUUGCCAAGGAUGUUUUCAUUAAUCAAGAACGAAAGUUAGGGGAUCAAAGACGAUCAGAUACCGUC